ensembl:lncRNA
GACCCAGUUCUGAGGUUGUUGGUCUCUGGGACCAAUGGUUCUCGGUUAGUUGGUCUCUGGGACCAGUGGUUCUGAGGUAGUUGGUCUCUGGGACCAGUGGUUCUGAGGUAGUUGGUCUCUGGGACCACCGGUUCUGAGGUAGUUGGUCUAUGGGACCAGUGGUUCUCGGUUAGUUGGUCUCUGGGACCAGUGGUUCUGAGGUAGUUGGUCUCUGGGACCAGUGGUUCUGAGGUAGUUGGUCUCUGGGACCAGUGGUUCUCGGUUAGUUGGUCUCUGGGACCAGUGGUUCUGAGGUAGUUGGUCUCUGGGACCAGCGGUAGGGAAGGCGGUUCUGUUGGCUGGCGCUUGCUGUUCUGUGUUGUAGGGAACGUAGAGGACCCUUUCUCAGAUUGUUUGGAGCGAUCCUUGUUUCCUUCUGAGCCCUGUCUUACUGUCACUGCAAUGCCGUAUUGAGACAAACCUACACACACUACAUACUUCACACACACAUUUUACAGCACCCCACACAUGAGUUUAUAAUGUACAUAGAGAUAUGAAGGGAGAAUCUAACAUAUUUAAUUUAGUCCUUCUCUGUUCUUAAGGAGAAACAUGACUUGCUGUGUGUUCUACUAUCUGUCCAAAGACAGGGGCAGUGUAGGGCAAGAUUUCAGCCCCACGGCUGACAUGCACACUGACGUUGACUUAGGCUGUAGCUUUGGAGACAAACCCCUCUGAGAUCAAUGAUGAUGACAAGCUCAGUCACUGACCCAGUCCCAUGAGAGGUCACUGCAGCCCGGUGACCUCCGAACUUUGACCCUUCACCCUACACCCAGUCUCACACUCUUCUCAUAGGCGUCUCUGCAUGAUGUGCGCUGGACUUUUCCAAACACGGUCUCGGGAAGUUUAAAGGGGUUUUAAGUUUGUUUUCAUUCUUUCAUUAAGAUUUUAAAAAGGGAAAGAAAUACAAUAAAGGAAUCAAAGUAUUCAAUCACUUUUCUACUCCUAUUUUCAAAAAAAGUGAAAUGAAAAAAAAUCUAAACAAAAAGUUGAAUUUGUAAAUACAUCCUGUACAGUCUGGAUCUGUACUCGUAAGUCUGUCCUUGGUGGCAGAGUCUGUCUUGCUUAUAACGCACGCUACCAGUAAAUAAAAAAGGAAAAAACUCUAUUUAGGCUGUAUGGUCCUUGAAAGCAAGUUUUAAACUUCAUCUAUGAUGUAUAUUCCUGUAACAUUGCAUUUUUAUCUGAGGAAUGAUGUUAUUAAAAAAUAUUGCAAAUAAAUUACAUUUCCUAGAGUCCGUUUGUACUUUCUGGCUGUUUUCCUGUACACAUAAAUAUUCACACUCAUAAUGAAAAUGACUUUGGAACAAAUGUGCACCUUCUCUUCUGUGGAUGUGUGAGACCUGUGGCCCACAGCCGUGAGGAUAUCCUUCAUCACCCCCACUCACUCGUGUCAUACUGCUGUAGUGUAAGAUCCUGGGAAGAUCAACACUGAUCAGGGCCAGAUGAAGGCCAGGCCAUAUUAGAAGAUCAACACUGAUCAGGGCCAGAUGAAGGCCAGGCCAUAUUAGAAGAUCAACACUGAUCAGGGCCAGAUGAAGGCCAGGCCAUAUUAGAAGCCUGUCGGUCAUCUGAACCUGAACCUGAGUCCAUCAGAGUCUCUCAUCACAAAGCCAGUAAGGAGCUGCUCUCAUCCAGAAGCACAGGUACUGUAUCGUCAUCUGUAAAAACAAUCAAGGAAAAUGCAUUAACAACAACAAUACAGCAACUUCUU